AGCCUUUUCUCUUUCUUAUCUAUCCAAUCUUAUUCCAUCAAAGUUCUUAGCGUUUUUAGUUACGUUCGUUCCCAUAGUCUCCUUCCCUCGGAUGGCCAUUUACAUGCUUCAAGAGAGCAUACCGCCAUCACAGAAUUCCUUGUACCUACCUUGCGUCGUCUAUCUACAGUUCACUACUUGGCACUUCGCAUUCAAUUUCAUGUACCUUGCUACUCUAUUGUGUACCCACUUGUCCGCAACAUAGUCUAUACCAGUUUUUACCUUUUUCGUUUCACCUUCAUCUUAUAACCAGCGCAUUGUGAAUUACCCCAUCCUAGUUUGCGAAGGUAUCUCAUCCGAUUUUUCAGAUUUACAC
rnacentral:lncRNA from 1 species